UACAGAGGUCCCUAGCGUUGUUCGGAUUUACUGGGCGUGAAGGGCGCGUAGGCGGCCAGGCAAGUCAAGUGUGAAAUCUCCGGGCUCAACCCGGAACGUGCGCUUGAGACUGCCCGGCUCGAGGCCGGGAGAGGGAAUCGGAAUAUAGGGUGUAGCGGUGAAAUGCGUUGAUAUCCUAUAGAACACCGGAGGCGAAGGCGGAUUCCUUGGACGGCACUGACGCUGAGGCGCGAAAGUCGGGGGAGCAAAC
rnacentral:rRNA from 1 species